CUAUUCUUGUCGGAGUGCCCAGUGCGAAAGCCGGGCUGAGACCGUUAAUUCGGGAUCCGCGGAACCUGAUCAGGUUAAGACCUGCGAAGGGAACAAGAGUCAAUUUAUU
rnacentral:ncRNA from 1 species